rnacentral:rRNA from 1 species
AUUGAACGCUGGCGGCAGGCCUAACACAUGCAAGUCGAACGGUAGCAGGAAGCAGCUUGCUGCUUCGCUGACGAGUGGCGGACGGGUGAGUAAUGUCUGGGAAACUGCCUGAUGGAGGGGGAUAACUACUGGAAACGGUAGCUAAUACCGCAUAACGUCGCAAGACCAAAGAGGGGGACCUUCGGGCCUCUUGCCAUCGGAUGUGCCCAGAUGGGAUUAGCUAGUAGGUGGGGUAACGGCUCACCUAGGCGACGAUCCCUAGCUGGUCUGAGAGGAUGACCAGCCACACUGGAACUGAGACACGGUCCAGACUCCUACGGGAGGCAGCAGUGGGGAAUAUUGCACAAUGGGCGCAAGCCUGAUGCAGCCAUGCCGCGUGUAUGAAGAAGGCCUUCGGGUUGUAAAGUACUUUCAGCGGGGAGGAAGGCGAUAAGGUUAAUAACCUUGUCGAUUGACGUUGCCCGCAGAAGAAGCACCGGCUAACUCCGUGCCAGCCGCCGCCGUAA